rnacentral:misc_RNA from 1 species
AGAACGUCUUCCUGAUUUAGACCUGAUCAAUGGGUUCUGUCCUGUCUUGCACAGCAAGCCUCUCUGAAACAUCAGCAAGUGAUUUUAGGUUGCAAUUGAUCAAAGCUUCAACAAAAUAACAUGUCUCGUCUUUGGUGUUCCCUUCGGGCACAUCCACUACAAAUGAUUCAAGCACUAGUGUCCCAGGUCUUCCAUCAAUCACCUCUGGGUGCACAGAUAUGACAGAGGAGUAGUUCCUAAGUCUGUGAUCCCCGCCAACAAUCCUGACACUUAAGAUGUGCUCUUCAUCAUCAAGAAGCUCCAAUCUCUCAGUACUCGUUGUUGCAGGGAGGCCCGACUUGACAUCAACUUCCCUAAGACUACCAAUCCCAAGAUCUCCUUGCACAAUGCACCUGCUGAUAAAGGGCUUGUACUUCUGUGGCUGAUCAAACCGCCUAACCAAUGACCAAACAAGAUGAACAGGUGCUCGAAUGUGCUUGACUAGAAAUGAACUGCAUUGAUUCUCCUUAGGUUCAUGAAUAUGAUGCUUCCUUAUAUACUCUUUCUCAACACCGCAGAAUCCAUUAGCGUUCAUCGUCGCUUUACUUUCCUGCAAAACCUGUAAUAAUCAAUGAACGGCGUGUAUUUCUCUCGCCGGUGACCGGAGAAUCACUCCGAUGACGUAGCAAAGAUCUCUCAGAGGCAGGCUAACGCGUAUUG